CAGCGCAGCCUUUGAAGAAGCAUGCUGAACGCUCUCUGUGCCGAGUGCCCUGCGAGGCCAGGGUGUGCCCUAGUCAGUGAGACUCAGUUCUUGUUCUGAAUUGCACAAGGGCCGAGGACAGAUGUGGACACAGGGAGGAGAAGUGGAAAACACGAGAAGGCAGAGGAAAAGGCAGCACGGACACAGGGUGGUCUCUGCUUCGGGUAAAGCCUUCGUUAAGCCUGAGUCACAGCGCAGCCUGGUGGCACCUUGGCAGAUGACAGCAUUGCCCUGACCCGGAGGUCUGUGUCCGCCCCCCACCUCUCACCCGCAAUGUCCUCCUCUCCCCCCAACCUUGCCCCUUUCUGCAACCCCACAAGGCA
ensembl:lncRNA